AUUUACAAAAUAUGUUAUGUUAAAGGCUUACAGGACCAUGAGUCAGGCAAGAGUCAAAGCCAGAGAGGCAGUCCAAAACAGGCAAAUUAAUCCAACAAGGAGCAGGCAGGAAUCCAGAGUCCAAAUAAUUGGGCAGAGGGUCAGUCGGUCGGGGUUCCAGUUAACAGGCUUGAAAGCAAUGAAACAACCAAGCAACAAAGAACAAUCUGGCAAGGAGUGAGUGGAAAACGGCUGGUUAAGUACUGCAGGGCUGACAAGGGAGAGUGGAAACAGAUUAGCAGGGAAGGUCAGGUAACUGCAGAGCUGAUGAGAGAAGUGGGAACAGGUAUGUAAAUGGGAAAUGGGUGGGGCAGUCAGGUGAUGUGGAAAGAAGGGAGAGUCCAGGGCAUCUAGUAGACAGAUGGAAAAUGGCAAUGAAAGGGCCUGGGGAACCGGGAAAGUGGUUGAAGAGGGGGGACAAAGAGACAGACUGUCACAGAUCUUCAGUUCAGUAUGAAUGGUUCACUCCUUCGCUCCACUGCCACCAGUGUCAAGGCCCUGUCUAUGCCUCGCCUUCUGGAUCUCUGAUCUGGCCACAACUAAAGUUGUCUGUAAAAAUCCCCUUUGGACUUGUUGGCCAGAGAAUCCAAGCAGUGCAUCCAGCCCCAGCAUCUAUACAAAUAUAGCUAAAUCUACACCCUGCAAUUUCUCACACAUCUUUGCAAUCUCACUCUCUCUUCUCACCCUUACGCACUCUCCUUUUCUGUCUCCCUCUGGUCGUCCAUUCUUUCAUAACAUCUCUCCCAUAUAAGAGCUGCCACGUCACUGUCCGCUCUCAACUCCAGGGUGGAACUUACUUUAUCUUCUCCCUCUCAGGCCAUGAAAGCCUGCACAAAUGGAUGAUUGGCACCUCAAUUAGAGAGACAGAAAUAACAGUGUGACUGUACUCCAGGCUCUAUCUGCUGCUCUCCUCCACUGGAAACACAACUACACAGAGGAAUGAAUCUGUAUUCUCUUGUCUUUACAUGGACCUCCAAACAAACUGAAUUGCCAUACCGUGUUUUCAA